rnacentral:rRNA from 1 species
AAAGCGUGGGUAGCAAACAGGAUUAGAUACCCUGGUAGUCCACGCCGUAAACGAUGUCGACCAGCCGUUGGGUGCCUAGCGCACUUUGUGGCGAAGUUAACGCGAUAAGUCGACCGCCUGGGGAGUACGGCCGCAAGGUUAAAACUCAAAUGAAUUGACGGGGGCCCGCACAAGCGGUGGAGCAUGUGGUUUAAUUCGAUGCAACGCGAAGAACCUUACCUACUCUUGACAUCCUGCGAAUUUGGUAGAGAUACCUUAGUGCCUUCGGGAACGCAGAGACAGGUGCUGCAUGGCUGUCGUCAGCUCGUGUUGUGAAAUGUUGGGUUAAGUCCCGUAACGAGCGCAACCCUUGUCCUUAUUUGCCAGCGCGUAAUGGCGGGAACUCUAAGGAGACUGCCGGUGACAAACCGGAGGAAGGUGGGGACGACGUCAAGUCAUCAUGGCCCUUACGAGUAGGGCUACACACGUGCUACAAUGGUCGGUACAAAGGGUUGCCAACUCGCGAGAGUGAGCCAAUCCCGAAAAGCCGAUCUCAGUCCGGAUCGGAGUCUGCAACUCGACUCCGUGAAGUCGGAAUCGCUAGUAAUCGUGGAUCAGAAUGCCACGGUGAAUACGUUCCCGGGCCUUGUACACACCGCCC